UCCGAGUUGACCCCGGCAGUCUCCUAUGAGUCCCCGCCAUAACGCGCUGGCAACAUAGAACGAGGGUUGCGCUCGUUGCGGGACUUAACCCAACAUCUCACGACACGAGCUGACGACAACCAUGCGCCACCUGUAUACCGCCCUUGCGGACCCCAUAUCUCUAUGAGUUUUCGGUAUAUGUCAAGCCUUGGUAAGGUUCUUCGCGUUGCGUCGAAUUAAACCACACGCUCCGCCGCUUGUGCGGGCCCCCGUCAAUUCCUUUGAGUUUUAGCCUUGCGGCCGUACUCCCCAGGCGGGGUGCUUAAUGCGUUAGCUUCGGCACGGAGGGAGUCGACACCCCCCACACCUAGCACUCAUCGUUUACGGCGUGGACUAC
rnacentral:misc_RNA from 1 species